rnacentral:rRNA from 1 species
AGAGUUUGAUCAUGGCUCAGGACGAACGCUGGCGGCGUGCCUAAUACAUGCAAGACGAGCGGAGCUUGCAUGCGGAAGCCUUCGGGUGGAAGCGUGCGGGCUUAGCGGCGAACGGGUGAGUAACACGUAGGCAACCUGCCCGCAAGACCGGGAUAACAUCCGGAAACGGAUGCUAAUACCGGAUAGACAGCCCGGCCGCAUGGCGGGGCUGGGAAAGGCGGGGCAACCUGCCACUUGCGGAUGGGCCCGCGGCGCAUUAGCUAGUUGGCGGGGUAACGGCCCACCAAGGCGACGAUGCGUAGCCGGCCUGAGAGGGUGACCGGCCACACUGGGACUGAGACACGGCCCAGACUCCUGCGGGAGGCAGCAGUAGGGAAUCUUCCACAAUGGGCGAAAGCCUGAUGGAGCGACGCCGCGUGAGUGAGGAAGGCCUUCGGGUCGUAA